ACGCACGAUGCACCCCGGGCUUCUCUGAGAGUUAUCGCUGAAGAAGAAAGCCCCAAUGCUCGUGCUAAAACGGCGCCGUCAAGUGUUGCAGUUUAGCUUCGCUCUUUCCUACAGCUUUGUCUGUGUCAAAUCGACGGCUACAUCUCCUCCUCUAUUCCUCCUUUGCUUUUUUUACUUUCAAUUUCAAUUUUGGUGCCUCGACACACCUUUAGCUUGUUUUUUGAUAAAAUCCAUGAAAUCAAAGCUAGUCAUGGAGGCACACAUUCACUUGCGGUGUCUACACGUGGGGGUUUAUCUCUGCCCAUGAUUUUACCUCUAAAAACGUCCGCUAUAUUUGAUUUUACUGUUGAUUGUUUUGAAUUUGUGGCUAUGAUUACAAAUUAUCCGCGCUUCUGAGAGCAAUCUGUGAAGCAUAACAUGAUAAUCAAUGGUUGAAUUUCUUGAUAUGAGCCAUUUUUUUUUUUCUGAUUUUUGUUAUUGAAAAAGUUUGGAUCUUUUUGGUGAAAAUUGUGGCGGUGAUGAUUAAUUUUACAGCUUUAUGCCAGUUCUGCUUCAGAAAAUUCGUGAUAGAGAGAGCUGUCUUAUACUCUGAGCCUAAUUGUUUCGUUAAAAGUUUAAUCGUUGUUUCUUGAUUUAUGAGGCCGAUGAUGAUUUAAUCCGAUUGUUCGAGGUGUAGUGUAGCCGAGACCCUGAAAAGGGAGAACCCCUUGGUGAAGCUACAUUUCAUAUGACUUCAAUGGAUUUAACUGAGGUUUUUGAUUUGCUUUAUGUUUUGGUUUUAGGGUUUUGUGUUAUGAUGCCGGUGAUGGUUACAAUCCAACGUGAUUGAGGUGUAGUGGAAGCGAGACCCUGUUUUGCAGGGAGAACCUACUCGUGGAAGCUAUUUUCCAUUGACAGAAACCUUUGUUACUGAGGCAUUUUUUACUACAAUGCUUUGAAUUGAAGAUUUUGUGACUACUUUGUUUGCUUUUGACGUUUUCAAUUGAGUUUUACUAUACUCAUAGCCUGUUCAGUAGCUGGUAGAGUCUGAAAAACUCAUAAAUUGUGUGUUGUCUAUCAGCUUCAUCUCUAGUUCUAUAGAGAGUGGAGUUAAAUAACAGCACUACAUUU
rnacentral:lncRNA from 1 species